AACGAACGCUGGCGGCAGGCCUCAAACAUGCAAGUCUAGGGGGUGCAGCAAUGCAUCACCGGCGGACGGGUGCGUAACGCGUGGGAAUAUACCUUUUGGUUUCGGAACAACUGCGGGAAACGUAGCAGCUAAUACCGAAUGUGCCCUAACGGGGAAAGAUUUAUCGCCAAAGGAUUAGCCCGCGUAGGAUUAGCUAGUUGGUGAGGUAAUGGCUCACCAAGGCUCCGAUCCUUAGCNGUUCUGAGAGGAAGAUCAGCCACACUGGGACUGAGACACGG
rnacentral:rRNA from 1 species